rnacentral:rRNA from 1 species
CACUCCUGCGGGAGGCAGCAGUGGGGAAUAUUGGACAAUGGGCGCAAGCCUGAUCCAGCCACGCCGCGUGAGUGAUGAAGGCCCUAGGGUUGUAAAGCUCUUUCACCGGUGAAGAUAAUGACGGUAACCGGAGAAGAAGCCCCGGCUAACUUCGUGCCAGCAGCCGCGGUAAUACGAAGGGGGCUAGCGUUGUUCGGAUUUACUGGGCGUAAAGCGCACGUAGGCGGACUAUUAAGUCAGGGGUGAAAUCCCGGGGCUCAACCCCGGAACUGCCUUUGAUACUGGUAGUCUUGAGUUCGAGAGAGGUGAGUGGAAUUCCGAGUGUAGAGGUGAAAUUCGUAGAUAUUCGGAGGAACACCAGUGGCGAAGGCGGCUCACUGGCUCGAUACUGACGCUGAGGUGCGAAAGCGUGGGGAGCAAACAGGAUUAGAUACCCCUGUAGUCCCAU